ACUCCUCGGCAGUGUUCGCAAACCU
rnacentral:miRNA from 1 species